AUUGAACGCUGGCGGCAGGCUUAACACAUGCAAGUCGAGCGGGGGAAGGUAGCUUGCUACCGGACCUAGCGGCGGACGGGUGAGUAAUGCUUAGGAAUCUGCCUAUUAGUGGGGGACAACAUCUCGAAAGGGAUGCUAAUACCGCAUACGUCCUACGGGAGAAAGCAGGGGAUCUUCGGACCUUGCGCUAAUAGAUGAGCCUAAGUCGGAUUAGCUAGUUGGUGGGGUAAAGGCCUACCAAGGCGACGAUCUGUAGCGGGUCUGAGAGGAUGAUCCGCCACACUGGGACUGAGACACGGCCCAGACUCCUACGGGAGGCAGCAGUGGGGAAUAUUGGACAAUGGGGGGAACCCUGAUCCAGCCAUGCCGCGUGUGUGAAGAAGGCCUUAUGGUUGUAAAGCACUUUAAGCGAGGAGGAGGCUACUUUAGUUAAUACCUAGAGAUAGUGGACGUUACUCGCAGAAUAAGCACCGGCUAACUCUGUGCCAGCAGCCGCGGUAAUACAGAGGGUGCGAGCGUUAAUCGGAUUUACUGGGCGUAAAGCGUGCGUAGGCGGCUUAUUAAGUCGGAUGUGAAAUCCCCGAGCUUAACUUGGGAAUUGCAUUCGAUACUGGUGAGCUAGAGUAUGGGAGAGGAUGGUAGAAUUCCAGGUGUAGCGGUGAAAUGCGUAGAGAUCUGGAGGAAUACCGAUGGCGAAGGCAGCCAUCUGGCCUAAUACUGACGCUGAGGUGCGAAAGCAUGGGGAGCAAACAGGAUUAGAUACCCUGGUAGUCCAUGCCGUAAACGAUGUCUACUAGCCGUUGGGGCCUUUGAGGCUUUAGUGGCGCAGCUAACGCGAUAAGUAGACCGCCUGGGGAGUACGGUCGCAAGACUAAAACUCAAAUGAAUUGACGGGGGCCCGCACAAGCGGUGGAGCAUGUGGUUUAAUUCGAUGCAACGCGAAGAACCUUACCUGGCCUUGACAUACUAGAAACUUUCCAGAGAUGGAUUGGUGCCUUCGGGAAUCUAGAUACAGGUGCUGCAUGGCUGUCGUCAGCACGUGUCGUGAGAUGUUGGGUUAAGUCCCGCAACGAGCGCAACCCUUUUCCUUACUUGCCAGCAUUUCGGAUGGGAACUUUAAGGAUACUGCCAGUGACAAACUGGAGGAAGGCGGGGACGACGUCAAGUCAUCAUGGCCCUUACGGCCAGGGCUACACACGUGCUACAAUGGUCGGUACAAAGGGUUGCUACACAGCGAUGUGAUGCUAAUCUCAAAAAGCCGAUCGUAGUCCGGAUUGGAGUCUGCAACUCGACUCCAUGAAGUCGGAAUCGCUAGUAAUCGCGGAUCAGAAUGCCGCGGUGAAUACGUUCCCGGGCCUUGUACACACCGCCCGUCACACCAUGGGAGUUUGUUGCACCAGAAGUAGCUAGCCUAACUGCAAAGAGGGCGGUUACCACGGUGUGGCCGAUGACUGGGGUG
rnacentral:rRNA from 2 species